GCUUACGGCAUACCACUCUGAGCACGCCGAUCUCGUCCGAUCUCGGAAGCCAAGCAGGUCGGCCUGGUUAGUACUUGGACGGCCGAAACCGCCUGGGAAUACCCAGGUGCUGUAAGCU
rnacentral:rRNA from 1 species